UAGGGAAUCUUCCACAAUGGACGCAAGUCUGAUGGAGCAACGCCGCGUGAGUGAAGAAGGCUUUCGGGAUCGUAAAACUCUGUUAUUGAAGAAGAACGUGCGUGAACAGUAACUGGUCAUGCAGUGACGGUAUUCAAAUCAGAAAGUCACGGCUAACUACGUGCCAGCAGCCGCGGUAAUACGUAGGUGGCAAGCGUUGUCCGGAUUUAUUGGGCGUAAAGCGAGUGCAGGCGGUCUUUUAAGUCUGAUGUGAAAGCCUUCGGCUUAACCGAAGAAGGGCAU
rnacentral:rRNA from 1 species